rnacentral:rRNA from 1 species
GACGAACGCUGGCGGCGUGCCUAAUACAUGCAAGUUGAGCGAUGAAGAUUGGUGCUUGCACCAAUUUGAAGAGCAGCGAACGGGUGAGUAACGCGUGGGGAAUCUGCCUUUGAGCGGGGGACAACAUUUGGAAACGAAUGCUAAUACCGCAUAAUAACUUUAAACAUAAGUUUUAAGUUUGAAAGAUGCAAUUGCAUCACUCAAAGAUGAUCCCGCGUUGUAUUAGCUAGUUGGUGAGGUAAAGGCUCACCAAGGCGAUGAUACAUAGCCGACCUGAGAGGGUGAUCGGCCACAUUGGGACUGCGAAACGGCCCAAACUCCUACGGGAGGCAGCAGUAGGGAAUCUUCGGAAAUGGACGAAAGUCUGACCGAGCAACGCCGCGUGAGUGAAGAAGGUUUUCGGAUCGUAAAACUCUGUUGGUAGAGAAGAACGUUGGUGAGAGUGGAAAGCUCAUCAAGUGACGGUAACUACCCAGAAAGGGACGGCUAACUACGUG